ensembl:snoRNA
UGCAAAUGAUGGUCUCACGAUGGUCUUCCAAGCCGUGGAAGCGGUAUUGACGACAAGUCCUUCAUGGAAAUACUGAUGCAGCUGU